rnacentral:lncRNA from 1 species
AGGGUUUAUGGACCCUUUAUGCUUUAUGUUUGCUUGUUGAGCUUGUUUGUUGGAGUUUAAGUUGUCUUAAGCUCCUAUAUGCUUGUUGUUUUGAGAUAUGGAUGAGUUAGAGAGGGUGGAUGCAUGUUGGGAAGGAUUGGAAGGUAUGGGAGGCGUGUUUAUGCACGAAGCUGAGUUCUGGAUGAACUCAGGUUCGGCAGCCGAAGGAGGAUUCGGCCGCCGAACAUGUUCGACUUUCGUCUCUGGAGGAG